rnacentral:rRNA from 1 species
UCUCGUUGGUGACCAGCGGA